CCAAUAGCGUAUAUUAAAGUUGUUGCAGUUAAAAAGCUCGUAGUUGAAUUUCGGGGUUAGUAGGUUGGUCAUGCCUCUGGUAUGUACUGGUCUCACUGAUUCCUCCUUCCUUAUGAACCGUAAUGCCAUUAAUUUGGUGUUGCGGGGAAUUUGGACUGUUACUUUGAAAAAAUUAGAGUGUUUAAAGCAGGCUAACGCUU
rnacentral:rRNA from 1 species